GCAGGAUAGGUGGGAGGCGUUGAAGAUUUUCUUGCGGGGAGAUUGGAGCCGUUGGUGAGAUACCACUCUAACAAUGCUAGGAUUCUAACCCUAUACCGUUAUCCGGUUAGGGGACAGUUUCAGGUGGUCAGUUUGACUGGGGCGGUCGCCUCCCAAAAGGUAACGGAGGCGUGCAAAGGUUUCCUCAGGCUGGUCGGAAAUCAGUCGUAGAGUGUAAAGGCAUAAGGAAGCUUGACUGUGAGACCUACAAGUCGAACAAAGACGAAAGUCGGCCUUAGUGAUCCGACGGUUCCGAGUGGAAGGGCCGUCGCUCAACGGAUAAAAGUUACUCUAGGGAUAACAGGCUGAA
rnacentral:rRNA from 1 species